rnacentral:rRNA from 1 species
UGGGGAAUCUUGGACAAUGGGGGAAACCCUGAUCCAGCCAUGCCGCGUGAGCGAUGACGGCCUUAGGGUUGUAAAGCUCUUUCACCGGUGACGAUAAUGACGGUAGCCGGAGAAGAAGCCCCGGCUAACUCCGUGCCAGCAGCCGCGGUAAUACGGAGGGGGCUAGCGUUGUUCGGAAUUACUGGGCGUAAAGCGCGUGUAGGCGGACUAUUAAGUCGGGGGUGAAAUCCCGGGGCUCAACCCCGGAACUGCCUUCGAUACUGGUAGUCUAGAGGACGAGAGAGGCGAGUGGAAUACCGAGUGUAGAGGUGAAAUUCGUAGAUAUUCGGUGGAACACCAGCGGCGAAGGCGGCUCGCUGGCUCGAACCUGACGCUGAGACGCGAAAGUGUGGGGAGCAAACAGGAUUAGAUACCCCCGUAGUCC